GAAUAGCUACUAUUUGGUGUUUUAUGCUAACAUAUAGUAUCAAACUUUAACAGACGUGAAUAACAAUUGUACAAUUUAAAUAUAAUGUCUUCUUCUUUUUAUAAGUCAUGUAAUGAUUAAACAUCUCGUACAAAAUUCUUUUCGAGUUUCAAACAUUAAUUUCGCAUUUUCUCUCCUUAAAAAGUUUAUGAAAAGAAAAACAUGACCUUAUGGUGUUAAAUUUCAAUAAAUAGGCAAUGUGUUCUACUAAAAAGCCAUUGAGUCAUCGGAACUCCAAGUUCAAAAUUGUGAUAGUUGGUUUUCCUUUCAAAGAGUUCUCUUUCAUUAAUAUAGGAAUAUAAAACUUUCAAAUAGAAAAACAACAAUUGCAAAAUCUUGCCAUGAUUUUAUAAUUGUUAAUUUUAAGAAACCUUUGUGCCAUUAAUGCUUUUUUAUUUUUGAAAGUGACCAAAUGGAGUUUAAUUUCAAUAUCUUAAUGAUAAAAUUACAGUAUUUCCAAUUGUAUUUUGUAUUUUUCGCUAUUUUACUACCACAAUGAUCUGUUCUGGAUGAUGCGGACUUUCUGAUCAACUCAACUAUUAACUAAUCCCAUACAUGUUUCUUUUGUAAGAUAACUUUAAACUAUUAAAACUUAUCAAAGAUAUCAAACAUUUACUUUGUAUUUGUAAUCAAACGAGCAUAAUGUCAAGAUCGUUUUUAUUACGUAUUUAAUGAUCACAAUAUUUUAACUUUGGAUGAAAGCUAUAGCAUGUUUUGAUAUUUCAAGCCUUCAAUAAAUAUUUUUGCAU
rnacentral:misc_RNA from 1 species